rnacentral:snRNA from 1 species
AAUUGGAAUGAUACAGAGAAGAUUAGCAUGGCCCCUGUGCAAGGAUGACAGGGAAAUUCAUGUAGUGUUCAAAGAAAAG